rnacentral:rRNA from 1 species
AACAAGGAGCUGGUAUCAGGCGCAAUUAUUAGCCCACGACACCUAGCUUAGCCACACCCACAAGGGAUAUCAGCAGUAACCAACAUUGAAAAUAAGCGAUAGCUUGACUCAGUAAAAGUAAGUAGGGCGGGCAAAUCUGGUGCCAGCCGCCGCGGUUAUACCAUGUGGCCCAAAUUGAUUUCUUUNCGGCGUAAAGAGUGAUUAAAGCNACUACCCNCACUGUGGUUUAACUAUNUAUUUAGUUGUAAUAAGCUUAUAUUUAGGAAACUCGANAAACGAAAGUUACUACANNNCUCAAAACAACUUGAACUCACGAUAGCUGAGACACAAACUAGGAUUAGAAACCCUACUAUGCUCAGUCACAAACUCUUAAUUACANNNNNNNNCUUCAAACGCCAGGGAACUACGAGCNAAAGCUUAAAACCCAAAGGACUUGACGGUGCCCCAUAUCCCCCUAGAGGAGCCUGUCCUAUAAUCGAUACCCCCCGUUUAACCUCACCAUUUUUAGCCAAAUCAGUCUGUAUACCUCCGUCGUCAGCUUACCACAUGAGUGAUAUAAUAGUAAGUUUAAUGUCCUNNNNNCUCGUCAAUACGUCAGGUCAAGGUGCAGCUAAUAAAAUGGGAAGAGAUGGGCUACACUCUCUAUUUUAGAACACACGAAUGANUANAUAUGAAANACUAAUUUCAAGGNGGAUUUAGUAGUAAAAAAAGACUAGAGCGCUUUUUUUANAAAAGGCCCUGGG